AUAGGGGAGCCGAAGGGAAACCGAGUCUUAACUGGGCGUUAAGUUGCAGGGUAUAGACCCGAAACCCGGUGAUCUAGCCAUGGGCAGGUUGAAGGUUGGGUAACACUAACUGGAGGACCGAACCGACUAAUGUUGAAAAAUUAGCGGAUGACUUGUGGCUGGGGGUGAAAGGCCAAUCAAACCGGGAGAUAGCUGGUUCUCCCCGAAAGCUAUUUAGGUAGCGCCUCGUGAACUCAUCUUCGGGGGUAGAGCACUGUUUCGGCUAGGGGGUCAUCCCGACUUACCAACCCGAUGCAAACUGCGAAUACCGAAGAAUGUUAUCACGGGAGACACACGGCGGGUGCUAACGUCCGUCGUGAAGAGGGAAACAACCCAGACCGCCAGCUAAGGUCCCAAAGUCACAGUUAAGUGGGAAACGAUGUGGGAAGGCACAGACAGCCAGGAUGUUGGCUUAGAAGCAGCCAUCAUUUAAAGAAAGCGUAAUAGCUCACUGGUCGAGUCGGCCUGCGCGGAAGAUGUAACGGGGCUAAACUGUGCACCGAAGCUGCGGCAGCGACACUAUGUGUUGUUGGGUAGGGGAGCGUUCUGUAAGCCGUUGAAGGUGUGUCGUGAGGCAUGCUGGAGGUAUCAGAAGUGCGAAUGCUGACAUAAGUAACGAUAAUGCGGGUGAAAAACCCGCACGCCGGAAGACCAAGGGUUCCUGUCCAACGUUAAUCGGGGCAGGGUGAGUCGACCCCUAAGGCGAGGCCGAAAGGCGUAGUCGAUGGGAAACAGGUUAAUAUUCCUGUACUUGGUGUUACUGCGAAGGGGGGACGGAGAAGGCUAUGUUAGCCGGGCGACGGUUGUCCCGGUUUAAGCAUGUAGGCGGAGGUUCCAGGUAAAUCCGGUACCUUUUUAACGCUGAGGUGUGAUGACGAGGCACUACGGUGCUGAAGUAACAAAUGCCCUGCUUCCAGGAAAAGCCUCUAAGCAUCAGGUAACACGAAAUCGUACCCCAAACCGACACAGGUGGUCAGGUAGAGAAUACCAAGGCGCUUGAGAGAACUCGGGUGAAGGAACUAGGCAAAAUGGUGCCGUAACUUCGGGAGAAGGCACGCUGAUAUGUAGGUGAAGCGGUUUACCCGUGGAGCUGAAAUCAGUCGAAGAUACCAGCUGGCUGCAACUGUUUAUUAAAAACACAGCACUGUGCAAACACGAAAGUGGACGUAUACGGUGUGACGCCUGCCCGGUGCCGGAAGGUUAAUUGAUGGGGUUAUCCGUAAGGAGAAGCUCUUGAUCGAAGCCCCGGUAAACGGCGGCCGUAACUAUAACGGUCCUAAGGUAGCGAAAUUCCUUGUCGGGUAAGUUCCGACCUGCACGAAUGGCGUAAUGAUGGCCAGGCUGUCUCCACCCGAGACUCAGUGAAAUUGAACUCGCUGUGAAGAUGCAGUGUACCCGCGGCAAGACGGAAAGACCCCGUGAACCUUUACUAUAGCUUGACACUGAACACUGGUCCUUGAUGUGUAGGAUAGGUGGGAGGCUUUGAAGUGUGGACGCCAGUCUGCAUGGAGCCAACCUUGAAAUACCACCCUUUAAUGGCUGGUGUUCUAACGUGGACCCGUAAUCCGGGUUGCGGACAGUGUCUGGUGGGUAGUUUGACUGGGGCGGUCUCCUCCUAAAGAGUAACGGAGGAGCACGAAGGUUAGCUAAUCCUGGUCGGACAUCAGGAGGUUAGUGCAAAGGCAUAAGCUAGCUUGACUGCGAGAGUGACGGCUCGAGCAGGUGCGAAAGCAGGUCUUAGUGAUCCGGUGGUUCUGAAUGGAAGGGCCAUCGCUCAACGGAUAAAAGGUACUCCGGGGAUAACAGGCUGAUACCGCCCAAGAGUUCAUAUCGACGGCGGUGUUUGGCACCUCGAUGUCGGCUCAUCACAUCCUGGGGCUGAAGUAGGUCCCAAGGGUAUGGCUGUUCGCCAUUUAAAGUGGUACGCGAGCUGGGUUUAGAACGUCGUGAGACAGUUCGGUCCCUAUCUGCCGUGGGCGCUGGAGAAUUGAGGGGGGCUGCUCCUAGUACGAGAGGACCGGAGUGGACGCAUCACUGGUGUUCGGGUUGUCAUGCCAAUGGCAUUGCCCGGUAGCUAAAUGCGGAAGAGAUAAGUGCUGAAAGCAUCUAAGCACGAAACUUGCCCCGAGAUGAGUUCUCCCUGAGACUAUAAGUCUCCUGAAGGAACGUUAAAGACGAUGACGUUGAUAGGUCGGGUGUGUAAGUGUAGCGAUACAUUGAGCUAACCGAUACUAAUGAACCGUGAGGCUUAACCUU
rnacentral:rRNA from 1 species